rnacentral:rRNA from 1 species
CACUAUCGUUAACUGAAUACAUAGGUUAACGAGGCGAACCGGGGGAACUGAAACAUCUAAGUACCCCGAGGAAAAGAAAUCAACCGAGAUUCCCCCAGUAGCGGCGAGCGAACGGGGAGCAGCCCAGAGUCUGAAUCAGCUUGUGUGUUAGUGGAACGGUCUGGAAAGUCCGACGGUACAGGGUGAUAGUCCCGUACACCAAAAUGCACAGGUUGUGAACUCGAAGAGUAGGGCGGGACACGUGGUAUCCUGUCUGAAUAUGGGGGGACCAUCCUCCAAGGCUAAAUACUCCUGACUGACCGAUAGUGAACCAGUACCGUGAGGGAAAGGCGAAAAGAACCCCGGCGAGGGGAGUGAAAAAGAACCUGAAACCGUGUACGUACAAGCAGUGGGAGCACCUUCGGGUGUGACUGCGUACCUUUUGUAUAAUGGGUCAGCGACUUAUAUUCUGUAGCAAGGUUAACCGUAUAGGGGAGCCGCAGGGAAACCGAGUCUUAACUGGGCGUUAAGUUGCAGGGUAUAGACCCGAAACCCGGUGAUCUAGCCAUGGGCAGGUUGAAGGUUGGGUAACACUAACUGGAGGACCGAACCGACUAAUGUUGAAAAAUUAGCGGAUGACUUGUGGCUGGGGGUGAAAGGCCAAUCAAACCGGGAGAUAGCUGGUUCUCCCCGAAAGCUAUUUAGGUAGCGCCUCGUGAACUCAUCUUCGGGGGUAGAGCACUGUUUCGGCUAGGGGGUCAUCCCGACUUACCAACCCGAUGCAAACUACGAAUACCGAAGAAUGUUAUCACGGGAGACACACGGCGGGUGCUAACGUCCGUCGUGAAGAGGGAAACAACCCAGACCGCCAGCUAAGGUCCCAAAGUCAUGGUUAAGUGGGAAACGAUGUGGGAAGGCACAGACAGCCAGGAUGUUGGCUUAGAAGCAGCCAUCAUUUAAAGAAAGCGUAAUAGCUCACUGGUCGAGUCGGCCUGCGCGGAAGAUGUAACGGGGCUAAACCAUGCACCGAAGCUGCGGCAGCGACACUAUGUGUUGUUGGGUAGGGGAGCGUUCUGUAAGCCUGCGAAGGUGUGCUGUGAGGCAUGCUGGAGGUAUCAGAAGUGCGAAUGCUGACAUAAGUAACGAUAAAGCGGGUGAAAAGCCCGCUCGCCGGAAGACCAAGGGUUCCUGUCCAACGUUAAUCGGGGCAGGGUGAGUCGACCCCUAAGGCGAGGCCGAAAGGCGUAGUCGAUGGGAAACAGGUUAAUAUUCCUGUACUUGGUGUUACUGCGAAGGGGGGACGGAGAAGGCUAUGUUAGCCGGGCGACGGUUGUCCCGGUUUAAGCAUGUAGGCUGGUUGUCCAGGCAAAUCCGGAUAAUCAAGGCUGAGGUGUGAUGACGAGGCACUACGGUGCUGAAGUAACAAAUGCCCUGCUUCCAGGAAAAGCCUCUAAGCAUCAGGUAACAUUAAAUCGUACCCCAAACCGACACAGGUGGUCAGGUAGAGAAUACCAAGGCGCUUGAGAGAACUCGGGUGAAGGAACUAGGCAAAAUGGUGCCGUAACUUCGGGAGAAGGCACGCUGGUGUGUAGGUGAAGUCCCUGCGGAUGGAGCUGAGACCAGUCGAAGAUACCAGCUGGCUGCAACUGUUUAUUAAAAACACAGCACUGUGCAAACACGAAAGUGGACGUAUACGGUGUGACGCCUGCCCGGUGCCGGAAGGUUAAUUGAUGGGGUUAUCCGUAAGGAGAAGCUCUUGAUCGAAGCCCCGGUAAACGGCGGCCGUAACUAUAACGGUCCUAAGGUAGCGAAAUUCCUUGUCGGGUAAGUUCCGACCUGCACGAAUGGCGUAAUGAUGGCCAGGCUGUCUCCACCCGAGACUCAGUGAAAUUGAACUCGCUGUGAAGAUGCAGUGUACCCGCGGCAAGACGGAAAGACCCCGUGAACCUUUACUAUAGCUUGACACUGAACAUUGAGCCUUGAUGUGUAGGAUAGGUGGGAGGCUUUGAAGCGUGGACGCCAGUCUGCGUGGAGCCAACCUUGAAAUACCACCCUUUAAUGUUUGAUGUUCUAACGUUGGCCCCUGACCGGGGUUGCGGACAGUGUCUGGUGGGUAGUUUGACUGGGGCGGUCUCCUCCCAAAGCGUAACGGAGGAGCACGAAGGUUAGCUAAUCCUGGUCGGACAUCAGGAGGUUAGUGCAAUGGCAUAAGCUAGCUUGACUGCGAGCGUGACGGCGCGAGCAGGUGCGAAAGCAGGUCAUAGUGAUCCGGUGGUUCUGAAUGGAAGGGCCAUCGCUCAACGGAUAAAAGGUACUCCGGGGAUAACAGGCUGAUACCGCCCAAGAGUUCAUAUCGACGGCGGUGUUUGGCACCUCGAUGUCGGCUCAUCACAUCCUGGGGCUGAAGUAGGUCCCAAGGGUAUGGCUGUUCGCCAUUUAAAGUGGUACGCGAGCUGGGUUUAGAACGUCGUGAGACAGUUCGGUCCCUAUCUGCCGUGGGCGCUGGAGAAUUGAGGGGGGCUGCUCCUAGUACGAGAGGACCGGAGUGGACGCAUCACUGGUGUUCGGGUUGUCAUGCCAAUGGCACUGCCCGGUAGCUAAAUGCGGAAGAGAUAAGUGCUGAAAGCAUCUAAGCACGAAACUUGCCCCGAGAUGAGUUCUCCCUGAGACUUUAAGUCUCCUGAAGGAACGUUAAAGACGAUGACGUUGAUAGGCCGGGUGUGUAAGCGCAGCGAUGCGUUGAGCUAACCGGUACUAAUGAACCGUGAGGCUUAACCUU